rnacentral:lncRNA from 1 species
CCAAGCUUGUGCUUAGGCCGUAAACACCUCAAACACCCCACAAAUCCAUGAUUUAAGUCCCAAAAGAUCAAUUAGGGUGUUUGGUAAUUUAGACAUGACAACAAGGAAGGCUUAAGUGCAUUAAACAUCAUCAUUUGAACACAAAAAGAGGAGUUUACGGCCAAGGCUAAGCUUGGGCCGUAAACACCCAAACUUUUGUGUCAAAUAAGUCCCUAAACUACCCUAAUGCAUGAACGGAAUUUAUCUAAGGCCUUUGGAAGUGUGUUGUACCAUUAAACAUCUCAUUUUGAUACCAAAUGAAGAGUUUACGGCCAAGGAUGUUCUUGGGCCGUAAACUCCCCAAAAAUUCAUGCCAAAUUGUUCCAAACUCACUAUAGGGCCUUCUAGGAUUUAUCUAAGACAUAUGAGACCAUGUUGUACAAGUAAAACCUACAUCUUGAAGGAUCUAUAGGAGUUUACGGCCCAAGAACAAGUCUUGGCCGUAAACUCCCCAAAAAUGUCACAAAUUGUGAUGUUUAAUCCUCCCCUUUUGGUCCAAAACACACACCACUAAAUUAAGGAAGUGAGAUAAGGCCCUAAACACACAUUUUGGAGUGUCACAAGAGUUUACGGCCAAGCCUAGGGGGCUUACGGCCGUAAACUCCCAAUGGGUGGCUUUUAGGCCAUAAACUCCAAGAGAGUGAACUCAUGGACCCUCCCGUAAAUCAUCCAUGGCCUUGUACCACUCCCGGGAACCCUUUCUAGGCCUUAAAACCCCGAAAACGAUGCUAGAAUGUCCAAAUACUAUAAUGAAAAGCAUAAGAUGAUUAACUUCUUGUAAAAUACAUAUUUCAUAUGACAUUAGGGUCCUAAAAGGUGCUCAAGUGGUUAUUUGGUACCAAACGCUCAAUCGACACUUUUACCCGAUUUACCCGAUUUCCGCGAUUUCAGGUGAGUUCAUACCCCUUUAAUGAACCUUUCAAAUGUUUUAAAUGUUUUAGGGGGGAGAUACAAGUUGCUUAUAAAUGUUUAUGUAAAGUUUUACAGAACGAUUUCCGCGUUACAAGGAUUAAUCACAUGUGAUUCACUACCCUUAGUUCAAAUCACAUGUGAUUUGUCCCUAUGCCUUAUAAACGGGUUUUACCCUUUUCAAACUAUUUUUAAACAGUGAAUCAGAUUUUAAAUGUUCUUUUGGAAAAAUACUUUUAUUUAAUCAAUUUACUUAUAAAAUGUAACCACUCUGAUAUAUUUAUAUAAGUAAGACUUGGAGGACUUAGGACCGAUAUCUCGCCUUAUUUCCUGUUCUUGUUUGAUUGUGGGCUUAGGGUAGUAGUUAUCCGUCCGACUGUCGUUGAUUUCUUAGUUAUAUAAUCUGUAUAUCAGUAUGGGAUACGAAUGUUACUGCUUUCACUUAAUGCUAAAGUCACUAACGUGCUAAGAAACAUCCCCACUAAGAUAACCAUAAUAGGUAUGGUUAGGGUCGCUACCGCUACUACUCGCUAAAGUAAUUACUAACUACACUAUAAUACUCACUAUUACUAGACGAUACACUAGUAAGAGAAUACACUAUGAUCAAUACUAAAAGAUUACUACACUAUAACAAUAGAGAAAACACUAAACAAACAAUAAUACACUAACCCGCUACGAGAUACUCUAUUCGCUAUUCACUACGCCCGGAGUGUUCCAGAGGGAGACGACUCUACAUGUAUAGAUCUAUACGGGGCAGACGCUAUUACAUCCCGACUGUUAAUCUCAGUCCGCGCCGUGCAUGCCCAGGGAUGCCACUACUUCACUAUAUUGUGCAUGACUGGGAAGGUCAUGGGAUCCUCUAUUAUCCUCACUAUUAGUGAUAUACAAAGAAUACACUACAACUACUCUAAAAUACUACACUAAAUGUUAAACUACAUCCCGAAGUAAGUAAGUAUCUAUCACUAAAGGAAGCUUGCAUCUCUAUCACAAAUUUCAGGCCUAACCUAUUCUAUCACAUUUACUAUUUGGAGAUUUGCCGUUAUACUUUACUAUAAACGGUUUCAAAGAAAUGAAGAAAUGUAUACUUUUCACAGAUUGUCACUUAAAAUGUAUUUCUGUUAAAAUAUGAGACUUUUCUAAGUUUCUACUACUUAUGAAUAUAAAUGAUACAUUCUUCGUACUAAUGCUUUGUAUACAAAAACUCACACUAAACUCUUAUGAACUCACCAGCUUUAUGCUGAUAAUUGUUUUCAAAAUAACUUGUAUCUUCAGGUCAAAGAUAGACAGGUUCAGACGCGACAUUUUUGGAGAAGGUGGAGCACACAAUAUCCAUCUCUUAUUUUUGAUUUAUUUUUGGGUGAUUGUUAAACAUUACAAAACACGCUUGUAGUUAAAUUCACUAUAUAAUGCUAUGGUUGUAUGUUUCUUGUUUCUACUAUUAUGCAAUUGUGAUGAUACUGUUCACUACGUCAUCCACCCCGAAAAGUAUUCCGCUAUUAUCGGUUUUGGGGUGUGACACAAAAUACGACCCCAAUUUUGUUUGUUUAAUUAAGAGUAAAGAUAUCAACUAUUUAUAAUAUAUCAUGUAAUCAUACGUCAUAGAUCCCAAAUGUUAUAAUAGAUGUGUCAUUAAAAAAUAAUUGUAUCAACAUAACGUAGUAUCUGAAAUAAACUCCCAGGACAAAAGCUGAAACUGUGGUGUGUGCAAUGCCAUCAUUCCGAGCUCUUCCAUUUUCUUGCAGAAGUACCUUAAACCAAAACUGAAACUGUAUGCACAAUGCUUAGUAAGCUCCCCCAAACUACCACAUACCAUACAAUAACAUAUUAAAGCACAUAUUGGGCCUUGCACACUGCAUCAGACUGAAAUCCGGAUAAUACAUUGGACCGAAGUCUGGAAACUAACCAGUGCCUUGCCCUUGGCAUCGGACCGAAGUCCAAAAAUUGCAACAGACCGAAGUCCGGAACUGAUUGGGACCUUGUCCCUUCCAUCGGAUCAAAGUCCGGAACUAACUGCAUCGGACUGAAAUUCGGAACUGAAUAGGACCUUGUCCCCUGCAUCGGACCUAAGUCCGGAAACUGACUAAGAAUCACAUAGCAUAGCAUAAACACAUCAACUAGCAUAAACACAUAUACUGCCUACUGCAUCGGACCGAAGUCUAGAACACAUAACAAAAGGACAUGCUUAAAUCACAAAGACAUCAAGCGCAUUGAACUACUGCAUCGGACCAAAGUCCGAAACUACUGCUAACUAGACUGGCGGACAUUGUGGCCAUAGACCUGUUCCUACUAGAAGGAAAACUCACCUCGUAAUGCUGGCUGCUGAGAUACUAACUCUAAAAGUGGCUGACCGGUGCUCCGGAACUGUCCGGAUACAAAUCCAAAAAACUCUAGACUAAUUACUUGCAAAUACCCUCAGGGUAAGAUAACUAUUUUACCCCUGGUCAAAGUCAACUUCAAGUUGACCGGACUCGCCGGGUCAGGGCGCAGACUCACCGAGUCCCUCCUUUACUAACUCUGACUUUAACUCACCCUGAACUCACAGGUCGAAGAAAAACGGGGACUCGCGACUCGACACGUCGAGUCCGAAAAACGACUUGCCAAGUCUGGUCAUGCAGAUCCCAUACAAUUGAAUUCCAAAAAAUUCCAGAGCAUCUAAGUUGUAGAUCUGAGCCCCUAGAACCAUCUGAAUACGUAAAGUUGCUAAUUUUAUGUGUAACUAAGAAGGAAUGAAGCUAUUUCACUUAAACACUACUUUUCUCAGGAAAAGUCAUCUAACUCGCCGAGUUGUAUGAACAACUCGUCGAGUCUAAGGCAAUCUUCAUCGGACUCGCCGAGUUGUUCAUCCAACUCAUCAAGUCUGUGGCUAUCUUCAUAUGACUCGCCGAGUCAAGCUUGCGACUCGCUGAGUCCAUUCAAUCCCUUUUCCAUACAGACCUGAUUUGCGCCAUGCAGCGGCUCCAAAUUCCAGGUCCAAGCUUCUAAGGUAUGCUUAUCAUGUAAAGUUGCAAACUUUACGUGCAUUCAUGGCUUUUAAGGCUUCAAAUGCCAACCCUAAGCUCUUAAUGGGUUCCAAGCUCUAGAGGGACCUCAAUCACGACCAUAACUGAAACUCUACACUUCUAGAAUGCAAUAAGAUUCCAGAUCCGAAGUUUUCAUCCAAGGAGAGUCCAUAUCUCAAGUUUUGAAUCAUAAAAGGCUCCAAAGAAGGGAUAUCAAGCAUAAAGGAGGUUAUAAUGGAGGAAUGCACAAGGUCAUAACUUCAUUACCUGAAUGAAGAACAGAUGUAAGCUAACUCCUGGAUCUUCCUUCCCUUCUAUGGACCUUCUUCCCUUCCCAAAGCUUCCAACCUAGCACAAGCACACUCAAACUCAACAAUGGUGUUAGGGUUUACAGGGGAAAAGUUAUGAGAGUGAUAGAGGCGAGGUUGGGGGCGCAUAAGUGUGUUUAAAUAGGGUGCAGAACCUUAAAACUAGGGCUUCAUCCAGACAGGCGGACUCGCCGAGUCCAGCAUAUGGACUCGUCGAGUAGCCAGCUCAAAAUGCGUGGUCGUCCCGUCUCUACUCGACGAGUCGCGCUAUAGACUCAUCGAGUACCCCUUCAGAAGUGUGCAAAAGGUGUCAUUUUCUAGGAUACUAUGGGGCGUUACAGCAAAGGAAUACUAUGGCAAGACAUGCAAAAUGGAAAAUGUCAGUUGAUUGUCAUGAUGUUUAUUUUAUGGAGAAUUGUGCAAAAAGGUGUGAUUUUAUAGGAUUAAACGCUACUCAUCAUUAAAAAGUAUAACUGUUUGAGUUAUGAAGAAAACAUUUCAAAACUAAUGAUGAAAAACCUUUUGAACUUAUUGUUAAGAGAAUGAUCUCGGAGCCGGUAUGUUCCGAGAUGGAUUUACAAGGUGAUCUAAGAGCAUGAAAGUUCCGAGAUAGAUUGCCAUUAGAUACUUCUGAGAUGAAAACGAAAAUACUUGUACAUGAUAUAGGGUCCGAGAUUACACACACUCAUCCUGAAUAUCAGAGGUAAAAGAAAGGAAGAAUUACAGGACAUGUUUAAAAAGUUAUUGAAGUUCCGACACAAGAAAGAACUGAUCUCGGACAAGAUAUGAACUUCAUAACACGCUUUUUGAUAUAGAUUUUGAGAUUUGAUCAAACAAAAUGCCAAUGUGACUUAUAUGGUUCAUGGACUUCCAAAGAUUGAAGAAGUUGUAUAACUUAUAACUAGAAGAAGAGGUCAAAUUAAAAGACACGUAAAGUGAUCCUAUUUUUUCUAGGAGGAAAUGAUUCCGAGAUGAAAAAUAAAUUUGACUUUAGAAUUAAUUCUCUUUCUGAUGACAACUUCAGAGAGUGCAAGUCUCUUGAAUGAAUUGAGGUUCAAGCACCAUCACACUCAUUUUGUUCAGAAAACCAUUGAAUUUGGUUUCGUCUAAUGCCUCAGCAAAGACAGCAGCAAUUUCAUCAUCAGAUGGAACAAAAAUAAUUUUAAUGUUUCCUUUUAAAACAUGAUCUUUAAUGAAGUGGUACCGUAUGUCGNAAGUCCCUAAACUACCCUAAUGCAUGAAAGGAAUUUAUCUAAGGCCUUUGGAAGUGUGUUGUACCAUUAAACAUCUCAUUUUGAUACCAAAUGAAGAGUUUACGGCCAAGGAUGUUCUUGGGCCGUAAACUCCCCAAAAAUUCAUGCCAAAUUGUUCCAAACUCACUAUAGGGCCUUCUAGGAUUUAUCUAAGACAUAUGAGACCAUGUUGUACAAGUAAAACCUAUAUCUUGAAGGAUCUAUAGGAGUUUACGGGCCAAGAACAAGUCUUGGCCGUAAACUCCCCAAAAAUGUCACAAAUUGUGAUGUUUAAUCCUCCCCUUUUGGUCAAAAACACACACCACUAAAUUAAGGAAGUGAGAUAAGGCCCUAAACACACAUUUUGGAGUGUCACAAGAGUUUACGGCCAAGCCUAGGGGGCUUACGGCCGUAAACUCCCAAUGGGUGGCUUUUAGGCCAUAAACUCUAAGAGAGUGAACUCAUGGACCCUCCCGUAAAUCAUCCAUGGCCUUGUACCACUCGGGAACCCUUUCUAGGCCUUAAAACCCCGAAAACGAUGCUAAAAUGUCCAAAUACUAUAAUGAAAAGCAUAAGAUGAUUAACUUCUUGUAAAAUACAUAUUUCAUAUGACAUUAGGGUCCUAAAAGGUGCUCAAGUGGUUAUUUGGUACCAAACGCUCAAUCGACACUUUUACCCGAUUUACCCGAUUCGCCCGAUUUCCGCGAUUUCAGGUGAGUUCAUACCCCUUUAAUGAACCUUUCAAAUGUUUUAAAUGUUUUAGGGGGGAGAUACAAGUUGCUUAUAAAUGUUUAUGUAAAGUUUUACAGAACGAUUUCCGCGUU